GGUGCUCCUAAGAGGUGUUGUUCAGAGCCUUUGGUUCUUCUGGAGAAGCUUGUCAUGCUGCUGGCUUCCCUGAUAUGAACUUGGCUGUUCUCACCAGAGGAGCUUGGGACCUUGUUGCUGAGAAUGACUACAGUUCACUUUGGGGGAGCUGUGCUCCUUACUUUGAGCAUCACUUCCUGGAUCCAGUAGUUUGUCUUCUUGUAUUAGAUUUGAUGGCAUGGACAGCUAUUCCAAAGAUAGCAGGAUAUAUUAUGUAUCAAGUCUGAGGGUGUAGGCAACUACUUUGAAGACAGUGAGAAUCACUAUGAUACCCAUUUUGGUUUAACUAUUACCUUCUUUUGAAGUCUUGUAAUGUCUCCAGUGUUUCAUUUUUAUUUAUUUUGCUGUGUACUGUUUUGUUCAAUUUUAUUAUACCUGAUGCUAUGGACAAUUCUUUUGAAGAUAACAAGAGGCAUUAUGGUAACCAUUGCUGAACACCUUGUGUUUUAGUUUUACAUCAUGUACUAUGUCCAUCCUUUUUUUUUUACUUACUCUAUUUGGUUUGACACAUUUCAUUUUAUUCUCUUCAAAAAAAGUAAUAAGAACUGCAGGAGUAAAAAAAACUCAAAAUGUAUCAUUGUUAUUGUAAAAAAGAGAGGAAAAGAAAGUGCUCUAAAGGAUAUAAUUACAUGUAUGUUUAAGUGUGUAGGAUUGAUAACCAUAUUACUAAGUUUUUGUUGGAUCGUUGGACAGAACUGUUUGCAGUCUCACUAUUUGAAUGUCCAUUUUGCGUGCUUUAAUUUUGCAACUUGAACAACUAUUUCUAAGAAGACAAUAUGCAAUUUAUCAAUUAGUGAUUUCUUACUGUUUAAUGUUUUUGAAAUUCUAUAUCACUUCUACCCUUUUGUUAUGUUUUGCUUUUUUUCUCUUUAAAUGCAAAAAAAGAAAAAAGAAUCCAACAACUGCAAGACAACGUGAAAAAGAACAACAUAAAACUGUUGGAGCCAGUGAAAAUGCAAGAGUCAACACAAACAUCAUUUUAAAAAAAAAAACCUGCUCAGAGGAGUAAUGGCAGAAAACUUCCCAAUAUAGAAAAAGAAUCUGACAUUCAGAUAUGUGAGUCAUACAGAACUGUAGUCAGUCAUGACCAAAAUACAUCUACACCAAAGAAUAUAACAAUCAAGAUUACAGAAAUUCAACACAAGAAGAAAAUAUUAAAAACUGUUAGGAAAAACAUUACCAAUAAAAGAAAGCUCAUCAGAAUCACAGGAGACUUCUCAAUAUGAAUUCUUUAGUCUAGGAGAGAUUGGAGUAAAAUAUUUCAAUCCCUGAAAAAGAAUUUCAACCCCCAUCAAUUAUAUUUCAUAACUAAUGGAGAAAUAAUAUACUUCUGUAACAAAGAACCACUGAAGAAAUUCAGGAUUACAAAAUCAGCUCUACAAGGGGUUCUGAAAGAUAUUCUAGGAAGAAAUAUCAAAGCCUACAAUUCUAAGAGUGCCAAUAGA